AUUGAACGCUGGCGGCAGGCCUAACACAUGCAAGUCGAACGAGUGGCGGACGGGUGACUAAUGUCUGUGCCACUGCCUGAUGGAGGGGGUUAACUACUGGAAACGGUUGCUAAUACCGCAUAGAAUCGGAUGUGCCCAGAUGGGUUUAGCUAGUGGGUGGGGUAAAGGCCCACCUAGGCGACGAUCCCUAGCUGGUCUGAGAGGAUGACCAGCCACACUGGAACUGAGACACGGUCCAGACUCCUACGGGAGGCAGCAGUGGGGAAUAUUGCACAAUGGGCGCAAGCCUGAUGCAGCCAUGCCGCGUGUAUGAAGAAGGCCUUCGGGUUGUAAAGUACUUUCAGCGGGGAGGCGUUACCCGCAGAAGAAGCACCGGCUAACUCCGUGCCAGCCGCCGCGGUAAUAC
rnacentral:rRNA from 1 species